GUACUAUCUGGCUGCGACAUGUCACCCCAUUGAUCGCCAGGGUUGAUUCAGCUGUUAUGGCUGGCUAGGCGGGUGUCCUCUUCCUCCCUCACGCUCCAUGUGCGUCCCUCCCGAAGCUGUGCACUAGGUCGAAGAGGAUGGCCUUCCCUGAAUAGAGACUGACCGGUCUUCAGUCUAGGGUAUAUCUAGGGUAUACGAGUAGCUGCGCUCCAUUGCUAGAACCUCCAAACAAGCUCUCAAAGUAAGCAUUACCCUGAUAGAAAUGAGAGAAAGAGAAAAUGGAGGAAG
rnacentral:sRNA from 1 species